GACGAACGCUGGCGGCGUGCCUAAUACAUGCAAGUCGAACGAACGGAUAAAGAGCUUGCUCUUUUGAAGUUAGUGGCGGACGGGUGAGUAACACGUGGGUAACCUGCCUCACAGCUGGGGAUAACAUCGAGAAAUCGAUGCUAAUACCGAAUGUUCUGAACAUCAUAAGAUGUUCAAGUGAAAGACGGUUUCGGCUGUCAC
rnacentral:rRNA from 1 species